GACGAACGCUGGCGGCGUGCUUAACACAUGCAAGUCGAACGCUGAAGCUUGGUGCUUGCACUGGGUGGAUGAGUGGCGAACGGGUGAGUAAUACGUGAGUAACCUGCCCUUGACUCUGGGCUAAGCCUGGGAAACUGGGUCUAAUACUGGAUAUGACAUGCCACUGCAUGGUGGUGUGUGGAAAGGGUUUUACUGGUUUUGGAUGGGCUCACGGCCUAUCAGCUUGUUGGUGGGGUAAUGGCCUACCAAGGCGACGACGGGUAGCCGGCCUGAGAGGGUGACCGGCCACACUGGGACUGAGACACGGCCCAGACUCCUACGGGAGGCAGCAGUGGGGAAUAUUGCACAAUGGGCGGAAGCCUGAUGCAGCGACGCCGCGUGAGGGAUGACGGCCUUCGGGUUGUAAACCUCUUUCAGCACGGAAGAAGCGAGAGUGACGGUACGUGCAGAAGAAGCGCCGGCUAACUACGUG
rnacentral:rRNA from 1 species